rnacentral:rRNA from 1 species
GUUGGGCCUGCUCGGUGAGAAGAAAAAUUUAACAGCUGCGGUAUUAUAACUGUACUAAGGUAGCAUAAUAAUUUGCCUUAUAAAUUAAGGCUAGAAUGAAUGGUUUGACGAAAAUUAGACUGUCUUUAUUUUAUUUGUUAGAAAUUAAUUUUUAUAGUGAAAAAGCUUGAAUAAUUUAAGGGGACGAGAAGACCCUAUUGAGCUUUAUUUAUUAAUAUUUAAAUAUAAAUAUAUAAUUUAUAUUAUGAAAAUUAUGUUGUAUAUAUAUAUAUAUAUAUUUAAUUGAUUUAAUUUUGAUUGGGGUGAUCAAGGAAUAAAGAUAAAGUAACUUCCUUAAAAUUAAUGAUUGUUUUUAUAGAGUAAUAAACCAAGUUUUUUGCUUAUAAGAUAAGUUACCAUAGGGGUAACAGCGUAAUUUUUUUUGAGAGUUCAUAUUGAAAAAAGAGAUUGCGACCUCGAUGUUGGAUUAAAAAUUACCUUAAGG